UACGUAGGGGGCAAGCGUUGUCCGGAAUCAUUGGGCGUAAAGAGCGUGUAGGCGGCCCGGUAAGUCCGCUGUAAAAGUCAAAGGCUUAACCUUUUGAAUGUCAGUGGAUACUGCCGGGCUAGAGUCCGGAAGAGGCGAGUGGAACUCCUGGUGUAGCGGUGGAAUGCGCAGAUAUCAGGAAGAACACCAACGGCGAAGGCAGCUCGCUAGGACGGUACUGACGCUGAGACGCGAAAAGCGUGGGGGAGCGAACAGG
rnacentral:rRNA from 1 species